GGAAGCAGGGGAUCGUAAGACCUCGCGCUAUUGGAGCGGCCGAUGUCCGAUUAGCUAGUUGGUGGGGUAAUGGCCUACCAAGGCGACGAUCGGUAGCUGGUCUGAGAGGAUGAUCAGCCACACUGGGACUGAGACACGGCCCAGACUCCUACGGGAGGCAGCAGUGGGGAAUUUUGGACAAUGGGCGAAAGCCUGAUCCAGCCAUGCCGCGUGAGUGAAGAAGGCCUUCGGGUUGUAAAGCUCUUUCGGCCGGAACGAAAUCGUCCGGGCUAAUACCCCGGAUGGAUGACGGUACCGGAAGAAGAAGCACCGGCUAACUACGUGCCAGCAGCCGCGGUAAUACGUAGGGUGCAGGCGUUAAUCGGAAUUACUGGGCGUAAAGCGUGCGCAGGCGGCUUCCUAAGUCAGAUGUGAAAUCCCCGGGCUUAACCUGGGAACUGCGUUUGAAACUACAAGGC
rnacentral:rRNA from 1 species